CCGGGCAGUGUCCGACUGGAGAGAACCUCGCUUCCCGGCGUUCGGACGGCAUGGGCAGGAAAGGGACCCCCUCAAACCCUGCCGAUCCAGAGGACAACUGUUGACUGGAGCUGUGGGGCUGUCUUGAUCUUCACAGUGGGACCUUCUCUAGUAACUCCAUUGUUCCUGCUCCUUCUUUAUCUUUGCCACCCUCACCCUGAAGUAAGGGGACCUAAAGGUUUG